CACGUAGGGCGCAAGCGUUGUCCGGAAUUAUUGGGCGUAAAGAGCUCGUAGGCGGUCUGUUGCGUCCGCUGUGAAAACCCGGGGCUUAACCCCUGGCUUGCAGUGGAUACGGACAGACUAGAGGUAGGUAGGGGAGAAUGGAAUUCCCGGUGUAGCGGUGAAAUGCGCAGAUAUCGGGAGGAACACCGGUGGCGAAGGCGGCUUCCUGGACCAGAACUGACGAUCAGGCACGAAAGCGUGGGGAGCAAACAGG
rnacentral:rRNA from 1 species